rnacentral:rRNA from 1 species
UACGUAGGGGGCGAGCGUUGUCCGGAUUUAUUGGGCGUAAAGAGCUCGUAGGCGGUUCGAUAAGUCGGACGUGAAAUCUCCACGCUCAACGUGGAGGGGCCGUUCGAUACUGUCGUGACUCGAGUCCGGUAGGGGAGUGUGGAAUUCCCGGUGUAGCGGUGAAAUGCGCAGAGAUCGGGAGGAACACCCGUAGCGAAAGCGGCUCUCUGGAACGGUACUGACGCUGAGACGCGAAAGCGUGGGGAGCGAACAGG